rnacentral:tRNA from 1 species
GGGGCUGCGCGGGAAAUUGACGACUGGAUUGUGAUUCCUGUCGUCGUGGGUUCGAGUCCCAUCAGCCACCCCA